GUAGAUGCUGCCUAUAUUGACGGUCAUAAAAGCCCGUGAUCACGCAGAGCUCUGUACCCAACUGACAGACACACUUUUUUUGGCUUAGAAUUACAGUAGGAACUGCUAAAAAACACA